rnacentral:rRNA from 1 species
UGGGGAAUAUUGGACAAUGGGGGCAACCCUGAUCCAACAAUGCCGCGUGUGUGAAGAAGGCCUGAGGGUUGUAAAGCACUUUCAGUGGGGAGGAUGAUUAUUAGGUUAAUGGCUAGAUAAUUGGACGUUACCCACAGAAGAAGCACCGGCUAACUCCGUGCCAGCAGCCGCGGUAAUACGGAGGGUGCGAGCGUUAAUCGGAAUUACUGGGCGUAAAGGGUGCGUAGGUGGUUCGUUAAGUUAUCUGUGAAAUCCCUGGGCUUAACCUGGGCAGGUCAGAUAAGACUGGUGAACUCGAGUAUGGGAGAGGGGAGUGGAAUUUCCGGUGUAGCGGUGAAAUGCGUAGAGAUCGGAAGGAACGCCAGUGGCGAAGGCGGCUACCUGGCCUAAUACUGACACUGAGGCACGAAAGCGUGGGGAGCAAACAGG